rfam:Fonsecaea pedrosoi CBS 271.37 unplaced genomic scaffold supercont1.6, whole genome shotgun sequence.
GCAACGGUAGCGCGUUCGACUCCAGAUCGAAAGGUUGUCGGUUCAAAUCCGGCCGGGUUCA